AUCCUUUGCAGACGACUUGAAUGGAACGGGGUGCUGUAAGCAGUAGAGUAGCCUUGUUGCUACGAUCUGCUGAGGCUUAGCCUUUGUUCUACAGAUUUGUGCUUUUGCACUCUCUCAGCAUAUUUUGGAUCGGAGGGUUUAAAGACUCUGACUAUGGUAUGCUGAGACAGUGAAAACGUACAAGUUCGGGGAUGGAUGGGUUUUUGAUGUAGGGAGAUGCCACCGACAGAUUCUACACAUUCCGCCUCAUGGUUUGUGUGAGUUCUGGCCAGGGCUGGGAUCCAUGGUACAGAACCAAACUUCAUAUUCGGCUGAGUCUAGAGGAUGCUCAAGUUCAUACAUAGAGCUUGGGCAUGCUUUGGGCUCAGCCGUUUUGCGUUAAGGUGGGUGUGGCAGUUCCAGUAUAUGAGUGCACUUUGAACAUACUAGUAUCUACGGCCAUAGGACUAAGAAAAUACCGCAUCCCGUCCGAUCUGCGAAGUCAAGCU
rnacentral:misc_RNA from 1 species